rnacentral:rRNA from 1 species
GGAUGAAGCUGCGGCAUGCCUAAUACAUGCAAGUCGAACGAGAGGACCUUCGGGGUCUCGUAGUGGCGAACGGGUAGAGGUAACACGUAGGGAACCUGCCCGCGCACCGGGAAUACGCUACUGGAAACGGAGAACAAAUCCCGAUGUACAGGAAGGAGGCAUCUCUUUCUGUGAAACAUCCUUUAGGGGAUGGGGCGCGGAUGGACCUGCGGUGCAUUAGUUGGUUGCGGGUAAAGGCCCACCAAGACGAUGAUGCAUAGCCGGCCUGAGAGGGCGGACGGCCACAUUGGGACUGAGACACGGCCCAGACUCCUGCGGGAGGCAGCAGUAGGGAAUUUUCGUCAAUGGGCGCAAGCCUGAACGAGCGAUGCCGCGUGAGUGAAGAAGGCCCUCGGGUCGUAAAGCUCUGUUGCGGGGGAAAAAAGGCAGCAUCAGGAAAUGGGUGCUGACUGAUGGUGCCCCGCCAGAAAGUCACGGCUAACUACGUG